GACGUAGGGCGCGAGCGUUGUCCGGAUUUAUUGGGCGUAAAGAGCUCGUAGGCGGCUUGUCGCGUCGAAUGUGAAAACUCGGGGCUCAACCCCGCGCUUGCAUUCGAUACGGGCAGGCUCGAGUUCGGUAGGGGAGACUGGAAUUCCUGGUGUAGCGGUGAAAUGCGCAGAUAUCAGGAGGAACACCGGUGGCGAAGGCGGGUCUCUGGGCCGAUACUGACGUGAGGAGCGAAAGCGUGGGGAGCGAACAGG
rnacentral:rRNA from 1 species